GGUCCGGUGGUCUAGUGGUAUGAUUCUCGCUUAGGGUGCGAGAGGUCCCGGGUUCAAUCCCCGGCCAGACCC
rnacentral:tRNA from 1 species